rnacentral:rRNA from 1 species
AAGGACCUACGGGAGGCAGCAGUGGGGAAUAUUGCACAAUGGGGGAAACCCUGAUGCAGCGACGCCGCGUGAAGGAAGAAGUAUUUCGGUAUGUAAACUUCUAUCAGCAGGGAAGAAAAUGACGGUACCUGACUAAGAAGCCACGGCUAACUACGUGCCAGCAGCCGCGGUAAUACGUAGGUGGCAAGCGUUGUCCGGAUUUACUGGGUGUAAAGGGCGUGCAGCCGGGAAGACAAGUCAGAUGUGAAAUCCCGCGGCUCAACCGCGGAACUGCAUUUGAAACUGUUCUUCUUGAGUACCGGAGG